ACUCCUACGGGAGGCAGCAGUGGGAAUAUUGCACAAUGGGGAAAGCCCAUCGAUGCAGCCAUGCCGCGUGUGUGAAGAAGGCCUUCGGGUUGUAAAGCACUUUCAGUGGGGAGGAAAGGUUGUUGGUUAAUACCUAACAGCUGUGACGUUACCCACAGAAGAAGCACCGGCUAACUCCGUGCCAGCAGCCGCGGUAAUACGGAGGGUGCAAGCGUUAAUCGGAAUUACUGGGCGUAAAGCGUACGCAGGCGGUUUGUUAAGCGAGAUGUGAAAGCCCC
rnacentral:rRNA from 1 species